ACUUUCAGCAACGGAUCUCUUGGCUCUCGCAUCGAUGAAGAACGCAGCGAAUUGCGAUAAGUAAUGUGAAUUGCAGAUUUUCAGUGAAUCAUCGAAUCUUUGAACGCACCUUGCGCUCCUUGGUAUUCCGAGGAGCAUGCCUGUUUGAGUGU
rnacentral:rRNA from 1 species